rnacentral:rRNA from 1 species
AAUCAACGCUGGCGGCGUGCCUCAGACAUGCAAGUCGAACGAUUAAGACUCCCUUCGGGGAGUGCAUAAAGUGGCGCACGGGUGAGUAACACGUAAGUAAUCUGCCCUCGAGUGGGGAAUAACACCGGGAAACCGGUGCUAAUACCGCAUAAUGCAGCGGCACCGCAAGGUGACAGUUGUUAAAGGAGCAAUCCGCUUGAGGAGGAGCUUGCGGCAGAUUAGCUAGUUGGUAAGGUAAUGGCUUACCAAGGCUACGAUCUGUAACCGGUCUAAGAGGACGGUCGGUCACACUGACACUGAAUAACGGGUCAGACUCCUACGGGAGGCAGCAGUCGGGAAUUUUGGGCAAUGGGCGAAAGCCUGACCCAGCAACGCCGCGUGAAGGAUGAAGUAUUUCGGUAUGUAAACUUCGAAAGAAUGGGAAGAAUAAAUGACGGUACCAUUUAUAAGGUCCGGCUAACUACGUGCCAGCAGCCGCGGUAAUACGUAGGGACCAAGCGUUGUUCGGAUUUACU